GGAUAGCUCAGCCGGUAGAGCACAAGACUCUUAACCUCAGGGUUGUGGGUUCGAGCUCCAUGUUGGUCA